CCUACGGGAGGCAGCAGUGGGGAAUUUUGGACAAUGGGCGCAAGCCUGAUCCAGCAAUGCCGCGUGAGUGAAGAAGGCCUUCGGGUUGUAAAGCUCUUUUGUCAGGGAAGAAACGGGUGGAGCUAAUAUCUUCACCUAAUGACGGUACCUGAAGAAUAAGCACCGGCUAACUACGUGCCAGCAGCCGCGGUAAUACGUAGGGUGCAAGCGUUAAUCGGAAUUACUGGGCGUAAAGCGUGCGCAGGCGGUUUUGUAAGUCUGAUGUGAAAUCCCCGGGCUCAACCUGGGAAUUGCAUUGGAGACUGCAAAGCUGGAGUUUGGCAGAGGGGGGUAGAAUUCCACGUGUAGCAGUGAAAUGCGUAGAUAUGUGGAGGAACACCGAUGGCGAAGGCAGCCCCCUGGGUCAAGACUGACGCUCAUGCACGAAAGCGUGGGGAGCAAACAGGAUUAGAUACCCUGGUAGUCCACGCCCUAAACGAUGUCUACUAGUUGUCGGGUCUUAAUUGACUUGGUAACGCAGCUAACGCGUGAAGUAGACCGCCGUGGGGAGUACGGUCGCGAAGAUUAAAACGUCGAAAGGAUUGACGG
rnacentral:rRNA from 1 species